rnacentral:rRNA from 1 species
UUAAGCAUAUAAGUAAGCGGUGGAUAAGAAACUAAACAGGAUUCCCUCAGUAAUGGCGAAUGAACAGGGAUGAGCUCAGCAUUGAAAUUUGGGCCCUCGGCCUUGAAUUGUAAUCUCGAGAUGUGCAACCAACGGAGGCGCAGAUGUAAGCCUCUUGGAAAAGAGCACCAACGAGGGUGAGAGUCCCGUUCUUCAUUUGCAGUCCCCCGUGUACGGUGUACUUUCUAAGAGUCACGUUCCUCGGGCUUGGAGCGCCAAAGGUGGUAAAUUUCAUCUAAAGCUAAAUAUAGGUUUGAGACCGAUAGCAAACAAGUACCAUGAGGGAAAGAUGAAAAGGACUUUGGAAAGAGAGUUAAAAGUGCCUGAAAUCGCUGAAAGGGAAGCGAAUGGAACCAGUGUUUCUUGGCGAGAUUGUUACAUGUCAAAUGGAUGGUCGGUUGCUUCAACGCAAGUGUUGCAGCUGGCUUUGAAAUGGACGCGUGUGGUGUUGCUCGCCUUGCUUGUCAACGUCGAUUCGAAGUUGAGGAAAACUCAAGGGACAUGGUAGUUUGCCCACGGGUGACCGAACGUGCCUUGUAGAACUCAUCUUUGGAUUGAAGACCUCGUGUCUGGUUGCAAUGCUCCCUGUGGGAGCAUUCCUUGACGCGAAGAUGGUGACAAAAUGGUUUCACUCGACCCGUCUUGAAACACGGACCAAGGAGUCUAACAUAUGUGCAAGUUCCCGGGUGGCCAAACCUGCUGGCGUAAUGAAAGUGACCGCUGGGAUUUUUGCACCAGCAACCGACCGAUCAACUGUGUGAGGUUUGAGUGUGAGCACAUCUGUUAGGACCCGAAAGAUGGUGAACUAUGCCUGAGAAGGGUGAAGUCAGGGGAAACUCUGAUGGAGGCUCAUAGCGAUACUGACGUGCAAAUCGUUCGUCAUACUUGGGUAUAGGGGCGAAAGACUAAUCGAACCAUCUA